GUGAAGUUGUAUGAUAAAGCAGAUAUUUUAAUUAUUUGUUAUCUUUUUGUAUUGCAAGAAAUUUCUUGCUAGUGAAUCAAGAAAACAUCCAGGUUGACAGUCUAAAAUGGCUACUGGUAUUUUAGUUAAUUCAAAAAUGAAACUUUUCAGUGAUUCACUUUACUAACAUUCUAUUUGAGAAGGCUUAUUGGUAAAGUUUGG
rnacentral:lncRNA from 1 species